UUGAACGCUGGCGGAAUGCUUUACACAUGCAAGUCGAGCGGCAGCGCGGGGGCAACUCUGGCGGCGAGCGGCGAACGGGUGAGUAACACAUCGGAACGCGUCCAGUAAUGGGGGAUAACCUGGCGAAAGCCAGGCUAAUACCGCAUACGUCCUGAGGGAGAAAGCGGGGGACCUGCAAGGGCCUCGCGUUAUUGGAGUGGCCGAUGUCGGAUUAGCUAGUUGGUGGGGUAAAGGCCUACCAAGGCGACGAUCCGUAGCUGGGCUGAGAGGACGACCAGCCACACUGGGACUGAGACACGGCCCAGACUCCUACGGGAGGCAGCAGUGGGGAAUUUUGGACAAUGGGCGCAAGCCUGAUCCAGCCAUUCCGCGUGAGUGAAGAAGGCCUUCGGGUUGUAAAGCUCUUUCGGCCGGGACGAAAUCGCACGGGUCAAUACCCUGUGUGGAUGACGGUACUGGAAGAAGAAGCACCGGCUAACU
rnacentral:rRNA from 1 species